rnacentral:tRNA from 1 species
GGUUGUGGCUCAGCGGUAGAGUGCUAGUCUAGCACCCGAGGCCUUGGGUUCCUUCCUCAGUAUCACAUAAAAAUAAAUAAAAUAAAGGUACUGUGUCCAACUACAACUAAAAAAUAAUCAAAAAAUAAAAAAGCAUGCAUGAAGCCCUGGGUUCAAGUCCCAUUAUCA